GGAAUCUGUGGCAGAAUGCCGCUGAGGCCAGUUAGGACUGGAAGAUAUACAAAGAAACAGGGGCCGGACUGGACUUUUAGGAAAGGGGGGUCCUCUUUGGAGGCUAGCGGACCAGCAAUGGACAAGGUGAACGCCAGCACUGCUUCUGUGGUACUUACAGGGUGUGUUCAGACUUCGUUGGCUCAUCCCUUCCAUCUUCAGUGAACAGACGGUGAUAAACGUGAGAAGCCAGUGGCAGUCACCAUGGCCAGCCAAAGUAAUGAGACUGAGAGCUCAGAAUCCCAGAGAGAGAGAACUGGGGUCCCACAGCCCAGUUAGCAGGCAUGAUCCCUCUGUGAUAAAGGGACAGGGCUCUGGAGCUCACCCAUCAGGUUGGAUUCUCCUGGGAUACACGGACAGUCCCCCACAGCCACUCACUCCCCCAGAACAGCUGAGCUGCUCAUCUGUAAUAUGUGUGGGAAAAGAAGCUGUUGGUGUCCAUCAUGGUCUCAGGUCUGGUAUCAUCAUGGUACCUGGAGUUGUUGGUCACUACCUCCAAGGUGGCAUAGUACCUUCCCAAAGGCACAAGCAGAUAAGAUUGACAAAGGGAGUGGCCUGCAGUGGACAGCUCAUGUUUACUUAGGCCUUUUCCAUUCCGACCCAGCUACAGCCUCCACAGCCAGGCCCACAGUGACUUCAGCUAGCUGCAAACCUGUGCAACUCGACUGUUCCUUCUCUUGGACCAUCUCUGGCAUUCUAUGCUGGUGCCUCUCCAAAGACACUGAGAUGCUGGUAGAGUCUGCAUUGCACUUAGACUCACUGAGUCUGGAAUUGUAGGGGUGUCAAUAUGUGUUCAUGUGUGUGUAUAUGUGUAUGUGUGCAUGCUUGCGGAGGCUAGAUGUCAACAUGAGUGUAUUCUAUCUCUCUCUACCUACUUUUCUGAGACAGCGUCUCCUACGGAAUCUGCGGCUUACUAGUUUAGCUAAAUUAACUGGACAGCAAAUCACCAGUAUCCUCCUGUGUCUGCCUCUUCAGGACUAAGAUUACAGGCAUGAACUAGCACACCCCAUUGAUAUUUGUUUGUUUGUUUUGUAUGUGAAUAUGUGUGUGGGCAUGUGCAGAGAACAGAAGAAGGUGUCAGAUCCCCUGAAGCUGGAGUUAGAGUCAGCCAUGAGCUGCCAGAUAGACAUAGGUGUUGGGAAGCAGACUUGGGUCCCCUGGGAGAGCGUCUAACCUCUGAGCCAUCUCUCCACCCCCACCCCCAGCUUUUUAUGUAGGUUUCUGGAAUCUGAAUUCAGGACCUCAUACUUGCCUGGCAAACACUUUGCUAACUGAGCCAUUUAUUUCUUCAACUCCUCAAGUUGCUUCUUGCUGGGUGUUUGGGCAGAGAUGAGAAAAAUAAUCAAUAAUAAGGGGUAAUUCUCCUGCUUCAGGGACUGACCUAGUAAAGCAUCCUUGAGUUGGUUUUCCUUGGACUCUUCAUCCUUGACCAGAAGCCCAAAGGCCAGUCUGUCUCAAGCUCUGCUUCCAAAGAAAGAUGUCUAAGGUGUGUGCCACCCUAGAAAGAAAUGACAGGAAAUGACCCCAUGCGGUUAGAAAACUGUCAUCGGUGUUGUGAAGGGAUUGUCUUGCUUUGUCCCUGUACUGCCCAGCAGGAUAGCUAUUAGCCAGCCGCAUGAGGACUGCAGUGUGACGGCGAUUUACAUUAAGCUGAAAUGAGGGUGGAGGGGACGGCUCACCAGGGAAGCACAUAUCACUGAAGCCUGAUGACCUGAGAUUUGUCCCUGGAACCCAUGCACAAAGCUGGAUAUCGUGGCACACAUCUGUAAUGCCAGCACUCCUGAGGUGAACGGGGAAGCAGAGACGGGAUGGGAACAGGCAGCUGCAGAGCCAGCCAGCCCAGAGU